UAUUUGUGAUUGUACAUACAGUAAUUCAAGUUUGAUGUUUUGUCAGUGAACGUAAGGGUUUGCUUUGUAUGCAUGGCCCUUAAGAUCGCCUCCCUUUUGCUAUGUGGGAGCGUGUCGAGUCAUAGCCAUGCAAAAUUCACAACGAGGUUCCAGAGAGUUUUUCUCUGAAACUUCUUCUCUUCCUGUUUUAGUUCCAGUAUCUUCAUCCAGGCAUCAAGUUUCCUGUAGUGUAUGACCAUCAUGUAGUAGCUGCUUUCUGCAAUGCUUCUGUGGGCUCAUCACUCGUGCAACUCUUUGCCAAAUCAAUUGGAGAUGUCUAGAUUUUGGAAGUGAACAUGUUUUAAUAAAGAAUUCAUAAAUUUUGUCACCCAUAUAACCACAAUUCAGAGUUUUUCAUUAGUUAAGUAAUACUUUUCAACUAAACCACACUGUUUUAGCAUCAGUUUUGAUUCUACUGGUUGUCAAUUUUCUUUUAAAAGUUUGACCUUUCAGAUGGUAUGCUUUCAGUUUGUGGGCGUAUGUCAAGCCAUGCUAAAUUCACAUGAUGAACCAGAGUUUUCCUCUGUAUUUUUUUUCUGUUAUCAACACAUUUAUUUUCAGGUGACUCCAUCUUGGCAUUGCGUUCCUUGUAGAAAGAGUCAGCAUACACUCUUCUAUGUCACUUUUCUAUGUCACUUCAAUUGAGUUCUUUCCGCCUUGCGCUUUGUGACCCUUUGCUUUGUUAAAUUAUUGGUUUAAUUAAAGUGGACAUCCUAAGAGCAUCUCCAACAGUUAUGCAAUUGGAAUUUGCCAUUUAUUGGAGUUUGCCAAGUCCCUAAACGUUUUGCCAAAGGAAAAAUAAGUUCAUCUCCAAGUCUUUGCCAUUUUUGACUUGGCAUUUUCCAAAAUAGUGGACCCAACUAUUUUUGUCUGGGAAUCUUUCAUCUUCGCGGGAAAUUCUCUCGUGCGUCGUGGGGCGCUUUCUUUUCCGCGCGCAAUUCCUUCGCCCGUCGCCGCCAAUUCUCUCGCACGUCGCGCGGCCGUGUUCAUCCCGCAAGUCCACGUCGCCGCUUGGUCCAGGUCGUCGAGUUUCGAUCUCGUCGCUGCGAUCGAUCUCCUAGCCUCGCGUCGCUGCAACAAAACGAGGCGGUGAUGGAUCUCCUACUUGGCGUAGCGUCGCGUGAAGGAAGGAGAGGAGGCGGUGAAUGGAUCUCCUAGCCUCGCGUCGUUGCAAGAAAAGGAGGCAGCGAUGGAUCUCCUUCGUCCCCGCGCAAAGAAAGGAGGCGGCGCGCGAAGAAAGGAGGCGGCGCGCGGGGGAAAGAAAAGAGUCACGCGUGGGGAGGAGUCGUAUCGCGGGAAACUACUGCGACGUGGGGAGUACGGGCACGACAAAGAGUCCAAGAUUCUCGGGAUAUCAAAAUUGCCAAGUCAUUGUGCCUAUGCAAAAAUGCCAAGUUUGGUCCAUCAAAUGUCAAGUUUGCCAAAAUGCAUAAGUCAAAUACAAAACUGUUGGAGAGCAAUUAAGGUUUUUGGCAAAUUUCAAGAAUGCAAAGUUCAAUUGCAUAACUGUUGGAGAUGCUGUUGGAGAUGCUCUAAGGUUCCCUAUAGUUUUAAAAUUCAGAUAUCAGCUUUGCAAUUUUUCAACCCCUUUAAAUUUAUAAUGUUUAUUAGUAAACAGCAAUAUAGAGGAAUAUGCUUCUAUGGGAGUGAAGCUGGAUAUACCUCUUAGCUUGUAUUUUAGUGAUAUUGAUUAAUUUUCUUCUGAAUGCGUGAUGCACAUGUCAGUCGGUAGAUCGUUUUUGACCGUUUCUUGCAAUUCACAUUAAUUUAGUUUCAGUAUGAUUGUAUCACGACCUUGCUGAAUCCAUCUUAGAUCCUUUUAAUUAUUUAAUAGUAUGAAUAUCUUUCAGAUUUAUUUUGUAUUAUUAAUUUACACUUGAUUUCAUAAUCCUUUUUGGCAUGAAGGUAAAAGCAGACCACGAUGAGCCAUGCUUGCAGCUCAGGAAGAUGCACUGAGAUGCAAGGAGCUUGGAAUCACCGCUGUGCACAUUGAGCUUACCGGUGGAAUCAAGACAAACACUCCAGGCCCUGGGGCUUAGUCUGUGCUUAGGGCUCUUGCGUUUGGCAUGAAGAUUGGACGCAUUGUUUAUUCUAUCUAGAUUUGAUGUCCUGUUGGUAAUGUAGAUUUGUUACACAAUUGGGUCGAGUGACACUUCUCGAUUUUUUGUAUUCUGUUUAUACUAAUACUAUGAUCGCACCCGAUUGGCAAAUCAGCACUACAAGUGUUCACCUUGGAGUUUCGUUUUUUAUGUUGGAAGAUUAACCGUUUUGUUUUCA